GGAGAGAUAGCUCAGUGGUUUGAGCACUGGCCUGUUAAACCAGGGUUAUGAGUUCAAUCCU
rnacentral:tRNA from 1 species